rnacentral:rRNA from 1 species
AUUGAACGCUGGCGGCAGGCCUAACACAUGCAAGUCGAACGAGUGGCGGACGGGUGAGUAAUGUCUGGGAAACUGCCUGAUGGAGGGGGAUAACUACUGGAAACGGUAGCUAAUACCGCAUACCAUCGGAUGUGCCCAGAUGGGAUUAGCUAGUAGGUGGGGUAAAGGCUCACCUAGGCGACGAUCCCUAGCUGGUCUGAGAGGAUGACCAGCCAAACGGGAGAUGAGAGACGGUCCGGACACGUACGGAAGGCAGCGGUGGGGAAUAGUGCGCAAUGGGCGCAAGCCUGAUGCAACGAUGCCGGGUGUAUGAAGAAGGACUUCGAGUUGUAAAGUACUUUGAGCGGGGAGGCGUUACCCGCAGAAGAAGCACCGGCUAACUACUUGCCAGCAGCCGCGGUAAGAC